GCCCGGGUGGUGGAAUUGGUAGACACAAGGGAUUUAAAAUCCCUCGAAGGUAACUUCGUGCCGGUUCAAGUCCGGCCCCGGGCACCA
rnacentral:tRNA from 10 species